CUCCCGGUGGCCAAGUUGGUUUAAGGCGCAAGACUGUAAAUCUUGAUAUCGGGCGUUCGAAUCGCCCCCGGGAGA
rnacentral:tRNA from 2 species